rnacentral:rRNA from 1 species
AGAGUUCGAUCCUGGCUCAGGACGAACGCUGGCGGCGCGCCUAACACAUGCAAGUCGAACGGAGUCAAGAGGAGCUUGCUUUUCUUGACUUAGUGGCGAACGGGUGAGUAACGCGUGAGUAACCUGCCCUGGAGUGGGGGACAACAGUUGGAAACGACUGCUAAUACCGCAUAAGCCCACGGAUUCGCAUGGAUCUGCGGGAAAAGGAUUUAUUCGCUUCAGGAUGGACUCGCGUCCAAUUAGCUAGUUGGUGAGGUAACGGCCCACCAAGGCGACGAUUGGUAGCCGGACUGAGAGGUUGAACGGCCACAUUGGGACUGAGACACGGCCCAG